CCUACGGGAGGCAGCAGUGAGGAAUAUUGGUCAAUGGGCGUAAGCCUGAACCAGCCAAGUCGCGUGAGGGAUGAAGGUUCUAUGGAUCGUAAACCUCUUUUAUAAGGGAAUAAAGUGUGGGACGUGUCCUGUUUUGUAUGUACCUUAUGAAUAAGGAUCGGCUAACUCCGUGCCAGCAGCCGCGGUAAUACGGAGGAUCCGAGCGUUAUCCGGAUUUAUUGGGUUUAAAGGGUGCGUAGGCGGCCUUUUAAGUCAGCGGUGAAAGUCUGUGGCUCAACCAUAGAAUUGCCGUUGAAACUGGGAGGCUUGAGUAUGUUUGAGGCAGGCGGAAUGCGUGGUGUAGCGGUGAAAUGCUUAGAUAUCACGCAGAACCCCGAGUGCGAUGGCAGCCUGCCAAGCCAUGACUGACGCUGAUGCACGAAAGCGUGGGGAUCAAACAGGAUUAGAUACCCGGGUAGUC
rnacentral:rRNA from 1 species